rnacentral:rRNA from 1 species
UACGAAGGGGGCUAGCGUUGCUCGGAAUCACUGGGCGUAAAGCGCACGUAGGCGGAUUGCUAAGUCAGGGGUGAAAUCCUGGAGCUCAACUCCAGAACUGCCUUUGAUACUGGCGACCUUGAGUCCGGGAGAGGUGAGUGGAACUGCGAGUGUAGAGGUGAAAUUCGUAGAUAUUCGCAAGAACACCAGUGGCGAAGGCGGCUCACUGGUCCGGUACUGACGCUGAUGGUGCGAAAAGCGUGGGGAGCAAACAGG